CUUCAAAACCUUCGGUGCCCGUAAUGAAUUCACUGGCAGUUCGAUUCC
rnacentral:tRNA from 13 species